rnacentral:rRNA from 1 species
CGAUAGCGUAUAUUAAAGUUGUUGCAGUUAAAAAGCUCGUAGUUGAACUUCUGCUUUAAGGGAUCUGGCAAAUAUGUUCAGUUGUACUUUAGAGCAUCCCCUUUGAUGACGCGGCAUGCACUUGGUUGAGCAGUCGUUGAUUCUAGGAAUUUACUUUGAAAAAUUAGAGUGUUUCAAGCAGGCGAUUAGCUGGAAUACAUUAGCAUGGAAUAAUAGAAUAUGACCUCUAUAUCAUUUUAUUGGUUUGUGUUUAGAGGUAAUGAUUAACAGGGACAGUUGGGGGCAUUAGUAUGGCUUUGUCAGAGGUGAAAUUCAUUGAUUAUCGCCAGACUAACUUAUGCGAAAGCAUUUGCCAAGGAUGUUUUCAUUAAUCAAGAACGAAAGUUAGGGGAUCAAAGACGAUCAGAUACCAU